rnacentral:piRNA from 2 species
UCAAGAUACAGAACACUUCCAUUGCCCCCCU